rnacentral:rRNA from 1 species
AGAUUAAGUUAUUAAGGGCGCACGGUGGAUGCCUUGGCACUAGAAGCCGAUGAAGGACGUUACUAACGACGAUAUGCUUUGGGGAGCUGUAAGUAAGCUUUGAUCCAGAGAUUUCCGAAUGGGGAAACCCAGCAUGAGUUAUGUCAUGUUAUCGAUAUGUGAAUACAUAGCAUAUCAGAAGGCACACCCGGAGAACUGAAACAUCUUAGUACCCGGAGGAAGAGAAAGAAAAUUCGAUUCCCUUAGUAGCGGCGAGCGAAACGGGAAGAGCCCAAACCAACAAGCUUGCUUGUUGGGGUUGUAGGACACUCUAUACGGAGUUACAAAGGACGACAUUAGACGAAUCAUCUGGAAAGAUGAAUCAAAGAAGGUAAUAAUCCUGUAGUCGAAAAUGUUGUCUCUCUUGAGUGGAUCCUGAGUACGACGGAGCACGUGAAAUUCCGUCGGAAUCUGGGAGGACCAUCUCCUAAGGCUAAAUACUCUCUAGUGACCGAUAGUGAACCAGUACCGUGAGGGAAAGGUGAAAAGCACCCCGGAAGGGGAGUGAAAUAGAACCUGAAACCGUGUGCUUACAAGUAGUCAGAGCCCGUUAAUGGGUGAUGGCGUGCCUUUUGUAGAAUGAACCGGCGAGUUACGAUUUGAUGCAAGGUUAAGCAGUAAAUGUGGAGCCGUAGCGAAAGCGAGUCUGAAUAGGGCGUUUAGUAUUUGGUCGUAGACCCGAAACCAGGUGAUCUACCCUUGGUCAGGUUGAAGUUCAGGUAACACUGAAUGGAGGACCGAACCGACUUACGUUGAAAAGUGAGCGGAUGAACUGAGGGUAGCGGAGAAAUUCCAAUCGAACCUGGAGAUAGCUGGUUCUCUCCGAAAUAGCUUUAGGGCUAGCCUCAAGUGAUGAUUAUUGGAGGUAGAGCACUGUUUGGACGAGGGGCCCCUCUCGGGUUACCGAAUUCAGACAAACUCCGAAUGCCAAUUAAUUUAACUUGGGAGUCAGAACAUGGGUGAUAAGGUCCGUGUUCGAAAGGGAAACAGCCCAGACCACCAGCUAAGGUCCCAAAAUAUAUGUUAAGUGGAAAAGGAUGUGGCGUUGCCCAGACAACUAGGAUGUUGGCUUAGAAGCAGCCAUCAUUUAAAGAGUGCGUAAUAGCUCACUAGUCGAGUGACACUGCGCCGAAAAUGUACCGGGGCUAAACAUAUUACCGAAGCUGUGGAUUGUCCUUUGGACAAUGGUAGGAGAGCGUUCUAAGGGCGUUGAAGCAUGAUCGUAAGGACAUGUGGAGCGCUUAGAAGUGAGAAUGCCGGUGUGAGUAGCGAAAGACGGGUGAGAAUCCCGUCCACCGAUUGACUAAGGUUUCCAGAGGAAGGCUCGUCCGCUCUGGGUUAGUCGGGUCCUAAGCUGAGGCCGACAGGCGUAGGCGAUGGAUAACAGGUUGAUAUUCCUGUACCACCUAUAAUCGUUUUAAUCGAUGGGGGGACGCAGUAGGAUAGGCGAAGCGUGCGAUUGGAUUGCACGUCUAAGCAGUAAGGCUGAGUAUUAGGC